GAAAAUUGUUGAUCGAAUUGACAGUGAUGGAGAUGGUCUCGUCACCACCGAGGAGCUGAAAGUUUGGAUCAAACGGGUACAGAAAAGAUACAUCUAUGAUAAUGUCGCCAAAGUCUGGAAGGAUUAUGAUAGGGACAAAGAUGAAAGGAUCUCCUGGGAAGAAUACAAGCAGGCUACCUAUGGCUACUACCUAGGAAACCCCGCUGAAUUCCAAGAUAGUUCUGAUCAUCACACCUUUAAAAAGAUGCUGCCACGGGAUGAGAGAAGGUUUAAGGCUUCAGACCUUGAUGGCGACCUGACGGCUACUCGGGAGGAGUUCACUGCCUUUCUGCACCCAGAGGAGUUUGAACAUAUGAAGGAAAUUGUAGUUUUGGAAACGCUGGAGGACAUCGACAAGAACGGGGAUGGCUUUGUGGACCAGGAUGAGUACAUUGCGGACAUGUUUUCCCACGAGGACAACGGCCCUGAGCCAGACUGGGUUUUGUCCGAACGGGAGCAGUUCAAUGAUUUCCGAGAUCUGAACAAGGAUGGGAAGCUGGACAAGGAUGAGAUUCGCCACUGGAUCCUCCCUCAGGACUAUGACCACGCACAGGCUGAGGCCCGGCACCUGGUUUAUGAGUCAGACAAAAACAAGACCCACAUGUUACAUAGUGGGGCCAUGAAAGGGAAGUGGGAUCCCUAUAGCCGGUUCCGGGAAUGCCCGCACUGCUUGUGGAGGCUGUCCAUCUUCUGAACUCUUGGGGACCUGCCUGAGGCACUCACUGUAGCACAGCUUUCACAGACCAGCUUGGAGGAUGAGAUGCUAACCAAGGAGGAGAUUCUAGACAACUGGAACAUGUUUGUGGGAAGCCAGGCUACCAAUUACGGGGAAGAUCUUACAAAAAACCACGAUGAACUCUGAAAAAACGCUCAUCCUGUUGUGGCCGACUGUGGGGGCAUUCUUCAGGUGUGCUGGGCGGGUGCUACAGUUGUCAGGUGCACAGCAGUUGUGUCCCUAAACAAGGAGAUUAUUCCUCAGAUUGGGGUAAAAAUGAGCUUUCAUUCCAUAUUUACUGGAAAAUAGCCAUUGCUGUUUAUUCCAGUAGGAUUUCCCCUGAAACACAUUAAAAUCUUGGCAAUUGCAUUUCUCUUGGGGGAAACAAUUGCUACGAUGUGGCUUACUAGUCUGACCUCUCCCAACUUUUUAAAGGAACAGGAAGAAAAUGUGAAAGGCUUCAGUUGCUGGGGGUGGAGCACGCCAUGCAGAGUGACUGAUCCGUAUUUGAACUAUGAGAUUUUGGAUUUUAUCAUUGCCACUGUUAAACAGUGGUGAAGGAAAAGUCUGAAGAAGUAAAUGUUGUAUUGUCCUAGGUCGGCUAACCUUGGAGCAGGCAUAAGUAUUUCAAAUGCUUUAUGUUUUGAGCUGUUACUGUAAAUGGUAUAUAAACUUUUAUGUGUUUCUUCUGUAUGGGCCUGCUAAUGUGCACAAUAAUACCAUAUCUUUGGAUUUUUUGUUUUUAUACUAAAAAGCAAUCAAAAAAGAUAAUGUGAACAAGAAAGGAAUUUUAGAGAUGAAUGCCAGGUAUUUAAAAAACUGUAUGACCAUGGUCAACACUUUAACUAUACUUGAGAAUUUUUUUUCAUGUUAAUGAGCAGGUCUAGUUUUUGAAAUAGUGAAUAGAAAUACAGUUCUUUCCUGGGUGUGAGUCUGUGCAGGUCAAGGGAAUCCAGAGGUAGUGGCAUUUAUUGCUUGUUGAGUCCUCAGUCUUUGAGUCUGCUUCCAGCAUCGCUUAUGUGAAGAAAACAGGCCAAGGUGAUAAUCUAAGCCAUUGACCAAACUAGCUGGAGUAACGGUUUGCAGAUGAAAUUCCACCUCAGGAAUUGAACGGGAGGUGAAUGGAAUAAAGGAUACCCUUGAGGAUUU